rnacentral:rRNA from 1 species
UACGUAGGGUGCGAGCGUUAAUCGGAAUUACUGGGCGUAAAGCGUGCGCAGGCGGCUUCGCAAGUCAGACGUGAAAUCCCCGGGCUUAACUCGGAAAGGUCAGCCGAUACUGCGGGGCUAGAGUGCAGAAGGGGCAACUGGAAUUCUCGGUGUAGCGGUGAAAUGCGUAGAUAUCGAGAGGAACACCUGCGGCGAAGGCGGGUUGCUGGGCUGACACGUGACGCUGAUGCGCGAAAGCUAGGGGAGCGAACGGG